rnacentral:rRNA from 1 species
UACGUAGGGCGCAAGCGUUGUCCGGAAUUAUUGGGCGUAAAGAGCUCGUAGGCGGUUUGUUGCGUCGGUUGUGAAAGCCCGGGGCUUAACCCCGGGUCUGCAGUCGAUACGGGCAGGCUAGAGUGUGGUAGGGGAGAUCGGAAUUCCUGGUGUAGCGGUGAAAUGCGCAGAUAUCAGGAGGAACACCGGUGGCGAAGGCGGAUCUCUGGGCCAUUACUGACGCUGAGGAGCGAAAGCGUGGGGAGCGAACAGG